UUGAUACGUUGUUAUCCAAAUGGGAUUUGAACGAAUCAUUAACCCAACAUUAAAUGUAUUGUUAGUGAAAAGUUAUUAACAAUAAUCCUUUCUCUUAACGUUCACUAAACUCUCCCUAUCUGCCCCUCUUAACUCUGUUCUUUUUUCUUUUUCUCUGUUCUAGACCCAACCUCAACGCUGAAGCGAACUGGGUAGUAACAAUAUAAAUCUACGACGGCACCUCAGUGCAGCCAUGGCGGCGCCGUCACGAGUACUUAAAAAUCGAACUCCUAGCCACUAAAACCCUUGUAAAUUCGAAUCUAGCUAUGUAACUUUUCAAGUCAAAAAGUUCAGAGAACCCAGAUCAUCAAAUAAACAGAACAGGAAACCUAAGUUUUCAAAUCAAAAUUAAACUCAACGCAACAGCAAUUUUAUGUGACAAUCAUGGGGUUUAUGGCUUAUGAAGCGAUGUGAAGAAGGUGGUAACCUCAAAUCAUGCAAAGGAGAAGUUUAAAUACCAAACCGGAGCUAGUCCGACGUUCGACUUCGGUCAAGGCGAGUGGCUUAGCUCAGUUUAUUCAAAGUUCUAAUGACAAACUCUGAGUACACUUUGAGUCGUAUCGAGCUUUGGUCUUUGGUGAUUGGGUGUGAGUGAAAUCUCAGCAGAGUAACGGUGCGGAAUCAACUCUUUUUUAGUGGAUUUCACUCCCUUCUUAUAGAGAGGUGGUACGAGGUUCAUGUGAUGGUGUGAGCUGGCGGAUCCAGCAAAUCAUUCUGUUAGAGUAAGAUUUCCUUCUGGAUUUUGUGUGGUCCCUUGUGUGAAAGUUGUAAUUCGAAUCCAUUGCGUUGGCAAGAUCCUCACAAAAAUGCAAGAUUGUUCUCACUAGCCUCUUUACCGCAGUAACACUUGUAUCUGUCAUGGUACGACUUACUGAACAUUCUUAAGCAAUGCUUUGAGUAGACUUCGUCUUGUAGCUGGUUUUGCAUAAUACCUUGAUUCCUGUACCCUGGUUAACUGGUAAGCAACAUAUGGAGAUCCUUUGACAGGUGAUAGGAAUCAUUGCUUUGGUGAUGUCGUACUUUAUGUGUAGCAUGUUCACCAGGUAUGUUUUCUGGACCUGGAUCUUGUGAACAUAUCGGUAUCCUCUGGUUCCUCAUGCUGAAAAACUCAAUUGGAUUUUGGAUUGUGGACGUAGCUCUGUUUUCAUGCUGUUCUGUUAUUCGAAUCUUGACUUCAGAAUGCAACUUAUGACUGUACCUUUCUUGUAAUGUCAUUGGAU